UUUGUUUGUAAAGUUUAUGUGAUUAUACUUUCACGUGAGAUUCUAUUGAUUUUAUUUCACGUGAAGAUGUACAUGUAGAUAUAGGAAGAUGUGGUGUGAGUGCCAAUGAGACAACUCUCCAUCCAAAUAACAAUUUAUAAAAGUUAACCAUUAUAGGUCAAUGUACGGCCUUCAACACGGAGACUUGGCUCACACCGAACAGCAAGCUAUAAAGGGCCCCAAAAUUACUAGUGUAGAACCAUUCAAACGGGAAAACCAACGGUCUAAUCUAUAUAAAAAACGAGAAUCGAGAAACACGUAUAAAUUACAUAAACAAACGACAACUACUGUACAUCAGAUUCCUGACUUAAGACAGGUGCAAAAAUUUGCAGCGGGAUAAAACGUUUUAAUGGUACCAAACCUGCUCCCUUUUUAGCUCACCUGGGCCAUAGGGCCAAGUGAGCUUUUCCCUUCACUUGGCGUGCGGCGUCCGGCGUCCGUCGUCGUCCGUCGUCGUUAACUUUUACAAAAAUCUUCUCCUCUGAAACUACUAGGCCAAAUUAUACCAAACUUGGCCACAAUUAUCAUUGGGGUAUUUAGUUUUAAAAAUGUGUCCGGUGACCCGCCAACCAACCAAGAUGGCCGCCACGGCUAAAAGUAGAACAUAGGGGUAAAAUGCAGUUUUUGGCUUAUAACUCAAAAA
rnacentral:lncRNA from 1 species